CACCCCGUCCCUCCUGCGGAACGGCUUGCGCUGCCGAAUCACUACGGCAGGCAUAACCUACAAGAGAACAUGAGACACAAAUCAGUAACCAGCAAAUAAAUCAAACCACAUGAGCAUUCGACGAAAGCUCAGCACAUCUCUCACACACCAUGCGUCGAAGAAACUGCACUGCAAAAACUCACCUUCUUCCUCAGCUCUGGCUUGCCCUUCUUGACGGUGGCCACAAACAUGUCACCGACGCCAGCAGCAGGCAGACGAUUCAGACGACCACGAAUACCGUGCACGG